GCACGGCCCCGCGGAGCACAGCGCCCGCGCCCCGCGCCCGGGCGGAGCAGCCAGCCCUUACCUUGCAGCGCCUGGGUCUGCCCGCUCGCUAAAGCUACUUAUCCCGGGAAAGCUCUCGUGGGGCCCAGGAGCGAACCCACAGACAAAAAGUGAAACUUCGGCAGGGCUGGAGCGGCUGCUGUAACCCACUUAUAAAGAAUAAUAGGGUUCUAAUGAGGAUUAAUAAAAUUUAAUAAGGUAUAAUUAGAGACCUUCAUUUCUUCCAUCAUACACCUUAUAAGAGCUGUACUGGAUCCAGAAAUGCUGCUAAUUGUGUUGAAACUGUUGUAUGGGUGUACUGGAGAAGAUCACUAUGAUUCUCCUGUGAGAUGUGAUUCUCCUGCGAGAUGCAUGAACUGCUCAGGACAGUACCAGUCUGUGCUGUAAACCAGCCUCUGGAGGGUGUGAACUGGAGCCCAGCAGAUGGCAUCAGCCUUGGAACAGAGGUGAAACUUGAUAUGGUGAACUGUCAGUAGAGGGCUUUUUGUAAAUGGAGCAUUAAAGUUGACUGGCUCCGUAGCAGAAAGAAGUGUCAAGAGAAAACUGCUCAGCUCCUGGCAGCGGGAGGCAGAGAAGGGACGAGCACCAGGGAGGAGGGGUCAUCCACCAGAUAGAGACCCCAGGGUCACACUUCCAUGCCCCACCCAUUCACACCCACAAGUGUCCUUUACUAAUAUGUUAGAUGUCCCUUAAGCCAAUCAAGCUGUCAAUUGGGAUCAUCCAUCACACUAAGGCAGAAAAUUCAUGUCUCCCCUUCUGUUCUAACAAGUACCUACUAUGCACUCACUAAAUUUACUAGGCAAUAAGAGAGUGCAAUAUGGAGAAAAACAGACCACCCUACAUACUAAUGCAAAGGAUAUCCCCUAAUACUUAGGCCAAGGGGAGGAGUCUGUUGAGACACUUGGCUGAGACCUCCCGAGGGACUGCUGAAUGGACCAGACCCUAAAGAAAACACUUGGAAAAAUAUAUACGAUGAUAAUCAGCUUGGGUACAUGGGAAAGGAUAUCAAAGAAGGUUUCAUCAAUAGAGUAGCAUUCGUCAACCUAACGAAAGAAAUCAAAGACCUCUUCUCUGAAAACUAUGGCACUCUGAAAAGAGAGAUUGAAGAUGAUAUCAGAAAAUGGACAGACAUCUCCUGCUCCUGGG
rnacentral:lncRNA from 1 species